GAUCAGGUAGGGAUACCCGCUGAACUUAAGCAUAUCU
rnacentral:rRNA from 1 species